rnacentral:misc_RNA from 1 species
CCCGUCUUAGCUGCUUGUGAUUCUAGUCUCUUCCAAUAGAGGUGAAGAUUUCGUUACUCUGCAAUCAAAUUAUACACACAAAACCCUAACAUUUUCGAUCUCCAUAUUUUCUCUCAUCAAUUCCUUUCUCGAUUAAUUAGAAAUUGGGAACCCAUUCAAUCUUCAAUCUUUUCUAUUGUCUUGAUUCGAUUUUCACAGAGCAAAAAUUCAUUCAGCUUCUUCAAUCAAUCGCUUGAAAGAAUACAAAUAAAAUCAAGUAAGAAUGGAUAUGGACGAAGAGGAUUUCGUGUUCUUUGGUACUCCGAUAGAGCGUGAGGAAGAGCUUACUAGCCGCAAGAAGAAAGCCGUCGCUGAGGCCUCUGGUCACCUCCGAACCCUCCCUUCUUGGAAGCAAGAGGUAAUUGUUUCAUUGUCUAUGUGUUUGGUUCUAGAGAAUGUAAAUGAAAAUUCAGAAGCUUUAAUGAUACUGUUUAUUUGUAUAAGAAGGGAGAAAGAAAGUACAGAGCUGCUUAUAACUCCAUCUGGCUCUGGUUAUGGCCUAUUUUGUGUGUGCCUGUGUCAGUUUUUGUUCCUUACUUUUUGCAUUUAUCGAAAAAGUUGAGCUCUGUGAACCUAAUUAUAAUGUUUGGUUUCUGAGAUAUAUAGUUAAGACAUUGAAAUCAAAAUUUCAUGCUCUGUUGUUUCCAAUUUUUGUUAAAAAAGGUUGAAAUAUCUAUGUUAGAGUGAGUUCAAAUACAGACUUGGGAAGUUCCUCAAUGCAAUUGAUUCCAUUCUAUCCCAUGAAGAAGUAAAUGGGCCAUAACAUGAAGCAUUGAUCGAGCGUGUAGACUCCUAAUAUCAUAGUCAACAAGCCCCAAGUCUCUGAGGCAUUGCAUAUCCUUAUGGAGCUUGAAUAUAAGUCCUUUUAGUCAGUCUCAACAAUAAUGUUUGUUAUAUCAGUGUCCCAAGCAGUUUGAAGUCCAUCGAAGCUAGAGCAAGUUGUGUGCUUUUGCUGCUUUGGAUGUAACAGGUUGACUUCUUUGCCACUGCUGCUAUUUUUUAGUCAUACAUAUCCCUGAUUGUAACAAUUGUCUCAGUGCCUUUGUCUCCUUAUCUUGCCCUGCUUCUUGGUUUAACCUAAAAAUUCCAUCUGAUGGACGCUUCUCUUCUGAGUUAGUUUGGCUCAUCGGACAAUAUUUCAAUUGUUAUUUGCUGCCUCAUCAUGUCUGUGCAAGAGAGCAAGCUAUUUGAAUUCUCCAAAAAUUUUCUUCAACAUAUGUGAUGGUUUCUAGUGUAACUGUGACUUGUUCAUUUGAUUUAAUAUGUCAAAAGAACUGGCACUUAUUCACUGAUGCUUUGUGGUUCAACAAAAAUAUCUCAUGCUUUUUAUUUUGUGUUGGUUUUGUUUUUAAUUUCAUUUCAGGUUAGGGAUGAAGAAGGACGGAGAAGAUUCCAUGGAGCAUUUACCGGGGGAUUCUCUGCUGGUUAUUACAGUACCUUGGGCUCAGAGGAGGGUUGGACUCCUCGGUCUUUUACAUCGUCCUGCAAAAACAGAGCUGAAGUUAAACAGCAGAGCAUUCUCAACUUCUUGGAUGAAGAUGAGAAAGCUGAAUUGGAAGGUCGAUCUUUGGGAAUAUCAUCCCAGUUUGACACACGUUUGGAUUUACAGCUGCUGAAUAUGCUCGUAAACAAGCUGAGAAGGAACAACAGCAGAGGUGUCCUUAGUACUUGUAAUUGACAUUCUUUGAGUGGUGAUUUUUUAUGGCAAUAUAUGGAGUUAACAAUUGCUGUUGGUGCCUAUUAUGAACUAAGAAUUCCAGAAAUUAAAAUUUAUGUUAUAUACUUCAUAACCAAUUUUCAUUUUUGAAUGACUGUAGCAUAAUCCUUUUCAUGUGGAUGAAAAUGAUAAGUUGUGAUACACCGCAUUUACUGCAAUUUCUUUUCAAUUUUUAUUUUUAUUUUACUUUUCCCACUUAUGUUGCUGAAGAAUAUGGCCAAAUGCAUCGAUUUCCUAAUUCACUGCCUCCCUGUAGUAUGCUCAUUCUAGGACCUACGUCCUGGAAUAUGGUACUUUAGCAACUUGGACCCCCUUGAUAUGUUGUCCAGAUCUCCAAGAACUGGAGAUCCCAUUUCUAUUUCGGAAUUUUUUCUUGUGGUAUUUUUUUUAAAAAAAAUUAAUAAUGAAAUUUAACAAAUGUGGAUGAUUAUAUGUUCUAUAAGGAUGAGCAGAUACAUCUAGCCAUUUAUAAAUGCAUGCACAUAUGUGGAUAAAGAUAUCAUGUCUACUUUCGAGUCUCUAUGUAUCUUACUGUGUUCUUGAUGUGUUUGUUACUUGUGUUCAUGGUUAUUGCUUCUCAUACCUUAAAUUUUGAAGUUGUUCUAAUGUUGUUGGAAUCUCACACUGAAAGAAUAUGAAGGAAAAGGGCAAUAUAUAAGUGGUUGGAUUGCAACAUUUACUUAGCUAAGUCAUUUAAUGUGAAAAACAAUCUGAUCAUUUAUAUAAAUUCAAAUUAAAAUGAUUAAAUUAUAAUUUGACCAACAACCUCUCUAAAUUUAAUAGAAAUAACAUUCAAAGAUCAUAUGCUAGAGAUUUCAGAUAAUUGGAACAAAAAAGAUAGUGUAAGAGUGUUACUUUCUGAAGUUUGUGGAGUCUCAAAGCGCAACACAUCUUUUCCAUCAGUGAUAACCUUGAAAAGUCUGGGCAUAAUUGUUUUCCAGAACCCCUGUCUUGAAAGUGGAGGCAUCUGAAUUCCUUCAUUGAACAGUGAAUCUAUAGCUCUGAAGUAUGGAAAUCCAAGUUCAGCAUCACCUAUAACAUUUCCUAGUGAUGGUACCAGUGCAUUAAAUAAUGAGUACAAGGUCUUUGCUGAGAAUGUCAGGUGCUUUAUUUCUGAGAAUCCUUCAUCUCUAGGGACAUAGAAAUCCUUUUUUUUUUUCUCUAACGAUGGAUCUGAUUGGCAUCGUGGGCGUCCAGUUCGACAUCGUCUAGGAUAAGGACGUUCUUUGCCACCUAAUACUGGUCUUGCAAGGUCUAGGUUAGCAUCAGGGUCCCCAAUAUCAUUGUAAACAUCGUAGUCGUAUAUCCUUUCGCCCCUCUUGCGUUCUCCUUGGCCAUUUCCUCGCAAAAGCGCAAGCUCUUCCUCUCUUAGCCUCCUUAACCCAAUUGGUGUUUGUGAUGGCAAGUAACACUUGUUGGUGAAGAAGGCUCGUUUCUGCUUGUUUUCAUACUUGGAGUGAACCCAUGAGCGACAAGUCACAUUAACAGGGCCGUGGGGGAAGCCAUCAAGCACUAUAUCUUGGAGGAACAUCUCACAAUGGUGUUCAUUCUCCACCAAAACAGCACCAACAUCUCCGAAAUCGUUUGGGACCUCAAAUUCCGCUUCAUAUUUCACAUCUCCACUCUCCUGCCUUACUCGGUGUGCAAACCCUUCAAUCGUAGGCUUCUCUAGUUCCGUCUUUGGAUCAAGUUCAGUACUAACAAGCUCUAAGAGGAGUGUUUUCCCAAGCAAGUCUUGUAUAUCAUCAAGUCCUCGCUCUAUUCCUAGGCUUGUGAGUAAUCCACCAAUAGUUUGAAUUACAGUAACCAGAGCUUUCACUUUAAUGGACUGCUGUGGAACAUCUUCUACAGCCUUAAUGGUGGUAGGUUCAGAGGCAGCUCUGAUGUACCUGCGUGCUUUAUUGAAUGGGGAUCUUGAUGACUUGACGACGAGAAGAGAAGCAAGUUCUUUUCCAUUGAUAAAUGAUUUAGGUAAUAAGAAAUGAGCCCUCCUAUUAGUUAUUGUAGAGUUUGAUUGGUAAUGAACCUGUGGCUUUAACAUUCUUCCUGCUCUGUA